CCUACGGGUGGCAGCAGUGAGGAAUAUUGGUCAAUGGGCGCAGUCCUGAACCAGCCAAGUCGCGUGAGGGACGACUGCCCUAUGAGUUGUAAACCGCUUUUGUACGGGGGUAAUAUUCACUACGUGUAGUCAUUUGCCCGUACCUUAUGAAUAAGCAUCGGCUAACUCCGUGCCAGCAGCCGCGGUAAUACGGAGGAUCCGAGCGUUAUCCGGAUUUAUUGGGUUUAAAGGGUGCGUAGGCUGGUUUAUAAGUUAGUGGUGAAAACCCGAUGGUUAACAUUGGAGUGGCCAUUAAUACUGGAGGACUAGAGAACAGAUGCGGCAGGCGGAAUGAGUUAAGUAGCGGUGAAAUGCUUAGAUAUUACACAGAACACCGAUUGCGAAGGCAGCUUACUAGGCUGGAACUGACGCUGAAGCACGAGAGCGUGGGUAGCGAACAGGAUUAGAUACCCCAGUAGUC
rnacentral:rRNA from 1 species